rnacentral:ncRNA from 1 species
UGUCUUCAGGGCAGGGUGAAAAUCCCGAUCGGCGGUAUAGUCCGCGAGCCGUUUUGUGGCUGACCUGGUGAAAUUCCGGGACCGACAGUGACGCAUUUACUUGCGAAGUCUGGAUGGAAGAAGACG